rnacentral:lncRNA from 1 species
GCUCUCUAGAGGUAACUGCACUGCUAGCUGUUUCUUUGGCUCUCUGCUGUAUUUCAAAUGUGUGUCUACCUUGAGCUUUUAAAUGGUAUUUGUAUGCUGACUUUCAGUUAUGGAAGAUGGGGAGGGAGGGAGUCUUUCCAUUAAAACGUCUCUUCUCAUUACAUGGUCAUGCUACUCACUUUUCCUGCCUCUGUGAAACACCGUGAGCAGCCUGGCUGUAGGCUCAGCUAUGGUUGGUGGACAUUUCUUUUGAGACCCAGAUUGAGACUUUGAGCUCAGCCGGAUCAUGGUGGCAUACCCAGGCUGUUCCAGCCCCCGGUGGCUUCCAGUCCUUCUCAAGCUCUGCGAGAAAGCCAGACCCGAGAAAGCCAGACCUUGGUUUCUUCCGGCUGUAGUGAGGGGACCAGCAUGGCCCUCAGGAUCCCAGGUACCCAAGGAAAGGAUGGCCGGGCUGACCAGGAAGCAGCACAAGGCAUAUUCUCAGACUUGAAGUAGCUGCCUGCUGAUAAAGGAGAUUAAGUCUUCCUCCCAGUCCCAGUGAAGUCGCACUCUCAUUUCGUAUUCAGCUUCAGAAUCACCAGUUGUAGAAGACUUUGCUCCAUCUUCUUUGCCAAGUCUUUGCUGUUGAAAGGUACUGCUUACAAUACCAUCAACUACAUCUCAAUGUAUGUUUGAUUAUACCAUAUAUCUUUCCUCUUUGUAUUACAAACAGGCUCCAUAUGUAAUAGAUAAUGAUAAAAUAAAUAAAUGAAAUGAAAUAAAAAUUUUAAAAAAAUAAA